GAAGGCUGGAUGGCCGCGGUCUUGGCAACAAGGUCGAGGAAAGUCCGGACUCCCAGAAGAAACGGUGCCGGGUAACGCCCGGGCGGGGCAACCCGACGGAAAGCGCCACAGAAAACAAACCGCCGACCUUUGGGUCGGACAGGGUGAAAAGGUGGGGUAAGAGCCCACCGCGCGCCGGGCAACCGGGGCGGCACGGCAAGCCCCACCGGGAGCAAUGCCAAAUAGGGCCCCCGCGCAGGCAGGUCCCGGAAACGGGAAACCGCUGCUAGGCACGCUUCAGCCGAGAGGGGCCGGGUUGGCAGCUAGAGGCACGCAGCAAUGCGCGCCCCAGAUGAAUGGCCGUCGAGCCCGGGAUUACGGUCCCGGGGGGACAGGAUCCGGCUUACAGGCCUUCUG
rnacentral:RNase_P_RNA from 13 species